UAAAAUUUCUUAGUGUCGCGAGAGGGACGGGAUAUUCAUUCCCAUUGUGCAGACAAGUCAGUUACAAUAAUUUCUACAAGAUUCUCAGGUUUUCAUCAAACAUUAUCAGUCCCUUUAAUCUGCACUGAUCCGUGAGCGCAUGAGGUUAAGCCCACGAGUCUGCAAUUCCGGAGAACCGAAAAUCCAGGCACCUGUCCAUCCAUCAAUCCGUCCAUCCAUCCAUCCAUCCAUUCAUCCGUCCUUUCAUCAGCUGGUUUCACAAGAAUAAGACAACAGCUAUGAUGGGGAUAUGCCCAUGAAAUCAAAAUCCGCCUAAACUAAU